GGCGCACGGGUGCGGUGAACACGUAAGUAAUCUACCCGAACCCUGGGAUAACCCUCCGAAAGGAGGGCUAAUACUGGAUAGGGUCCCCGAGGUGUAAGCUGCGGGGGGAAAGUGGGCCUCUGUUACAUGCUCACGGUUCGGGAUGAGCUUGCGGCCCAUUAGCUUGUUGGUAGGGUAAUGGCUUACCAAGGCGACGAUGGGUAGCUGGUCUGAGAGGAUGAUCAGCCACACUGGCACUGAGACACGGGCCAGACUCCUACGGGAGGCAGCAGUGGGGAAUUUUGCGCAAUGGGCGAAAGCCUGACGCAGUAACGCCGUGUGGAGGAUGAAGGCCUUCGGGUUGUAAACUCCUGUCAGGGGGAACGACGAAGUAGGACUGAUAAGGUCCUGCCUUCAGACGGUACCUCCAAAGGAAGCCCCGGCUAAUUCCGUGCCAGCAGCCGCGGUAA
rnacentral:rRNA from 1 species